rnacentral:rRNA from 1 species
UAAAGCCUAGGCCUACCAGCCAAAGCAUAACAUCACUUAUUGAUCCAAAGCUUUGAUCAACGGA